UACGUAGGGUGCAAGCGUUGUCCGGAAUUAUUGGGCGUAAAGGGCUCGUAGGCGGUUUGUCGCGUCGGGAGUGAAAACUCAGGGCUUAACCCUGAGCCUGCUUCCGAUACGGGCAGACUAGAGGUAUGCAGGGGAGAAUGGAAUUCCUGGUGUAGCGGUGACAUGCGCAGAUAUCAGGAGGAACACCGGUGGCGAAGGCGGUUCUCUGGGCAUUACCUGACGCUGAGGAGCGAAAGUGUGGGGAGCGAACAGG
rnacentral:rRNA from 1 species